AUUCCAGCUCCAAUAGCGUAUAUUAAAGUUGUUGCGGUUAAAAAGCUCGUAGUUGGAUUUCUGGUUGAAGCGACCGGUCGGGCGUUGAUUCGUCUGCACUGGAGUCGGUUUUGGCCAUCCUCUAGGAAAGUGCGUCUGGUAUUAAGUUGUCGGGCGUAUGAUCCUGGUCUUUUACUGUGAAAAAAUUAGAGUGUUUAAAGCAGGCCUUCGCCUUGAAUACAUUAGCAUGGAAUAAUAAGAUAGGACUUUGGUCUAUUUUGGUGGUUUGCAGACCGAAGUAAUGAUUAAUAGGGAUAGUUGGGGGUAUUUAUAUUCCGAUGUCAGAGGUGUAAUUCUUAGAUUUUCGGAAGAUAAACUUAUGCGAAAGCAUUUACCAAGGAUGUUUUCAUCG
rnacentral:rRNA from 1 species